UGUCUGUACUGCAAGACAACAGUGAGAGGGGGGAUGUCUGUACUGCAAGACAACAGUGAGGGGGAUGGCUGUACUGCAAGACAACAGUGAGGGGGAUGGCUGCAUAAGAAGCAUUUUAAGGUCCUGGAGUGGCCUAGCCAGUCUCCAGAUCUUAACCCCAUAGAAAAUCUUUGGAGGGAGUUGAAAGUCCGUGUUGCCCAGCUACAGCCCCAAAACAUCACUGCUCUAGAGGAGAUCUGCAUGGAGGAAUGGGACAAAAUACCAGCGAGUGUGUGUGAAAACCUUGUGAAGACUUACAGAAAACAUUUGACCUCUGUCAUUGCCAACAAAGGGUAUAUAACAAAGUAUUGAGAUAAGUAUUUGGUCAAUAAUAAGUUUAUUUUCCACCAUAAUUUGCAAAUAAAUUCAUUUUAAAAAAUCCUACAAUGUGAUUUUCUGGAUUUUUUUCUCAUUUUGUCUGUCAUAGUUGAAGUGUACCUAUGAUAAAUUACAGGCCUCAUCUUUUUAAGUGGGAGAACUUGCACAAUUGGUGGCUGACUAAACACUUUUUUGCCCCACUGUAUAUGUAGCACAAAAGCUGUAAAUUAAAAAAAACAUAUUUGUCCUCUGACGAGGGUUUAAUAAAAGUAAAAGAGUGGGAGUUAAGGGAGGUAGGGAGGGCUUCAGUGCUGAUUCAUAAUUAACAAGCCCCGUGUUCUUCUGAAGCAGUCUCUCUGGCCUGUAGUCAAGUCAGCAACUCUCCCUCCCUCAGCAUGCUGGCUGUUUAGGGUCAAACACAGGGUUAACAGGCCUUCGAUAAUGCAGGAACCACCCGUGGGCAGUCAGAGGUCAGCUCCCAUGAUGCUCAGGUGCACACUUCCGAGACGGUCAAGCAUUUUGUCUAGAAUGAAUACUUGAGUUAUCAUGAAUGAUACAUUCUGGUAGUAGUGUACUACCGAUGCAGUAUUCGAUUCCUCUGAAUGUUUCUUAAAGCUGAAUAACUGAGCGGACACGAAUCAAUGAGAAGACAUUCAAGCACUGGCCUGCUGUUGCUCUUGAUGUGUAAUAACAGAGUGGUUAAAGGUAGCCAGAGAGAAAGUGUUUCAGAGCUCCAGUCCUGUUGAUGUAGCUUCUGGCUGAAACGAGACAUCAGGCUGCUGUGGCGUGGAGCGUCAUCUCGUAUCUCCUCCCACUCAACUUCAGGCCUAACCCCUGUUGAUGAGCCCUUGGCUGGCGGUGACCCGGGCCUUCCGUCGCCUGAUGACAGACGCCACAUUCUCAUCUGCCAGAUGGGGUCUCAAUUGCUGACGUAUAGCGCCACAGCUGUCCCCGCCCCAAGAGGUGAUCGAUCUGGUUCCAGCCACAUAUCUCGGUCUCUGCAUGCAUCGUGACUGUGUCCCCGCCCCAAGAGGUGAUCUGGUUCCAGCCACAUAUCUCGGUCUCUGCAUGUAUCGUGACUGUGUCCCCGCCCCAAGAGGUGAUCGAUCUGGUUCCAGCCACAUAUCUCGGUCUCUGCAUGUAUCGUGACUGUGUCCCAUCCCUAAGAGGUGAUCUGGUUCCAGCCACAUAUCUCGGUCUCUGCAUGUAUCGUGACUGUGUCCCAUCCCUAAGAGGUGAUCUGGUUCCAGCCACAUAUCUCGGUCUCUGCAUGUAUCGUGACUGUGUCCCAUCCCUAAGAGGUGAUCUGGUUCCAGCCACAUAUCUCGGUCUCUGCAUGUAUCGUGACUGUGUCCCAUCCCUAAGAGGUGAUCUGGUUCCAGCCACAUAUCUCGGUCUCUGCAUGUAUCGUGACUGUGUCCCCGCCCCAAGAGGUGAUCUGGUUCCAGCCACAUAUCUCGGUAUCUGCAUGUAUCGUGACUGUGUCCCAUCCCUAAGAGGUGAUCUGGUUCCAGCCACAUAUCUCGGUAUCUGCAUGUAUCGUGACUGUGUCCCCGCCCCAAGAGGUGAUCUGGUUCCAGCCACAUAUCUCGGUAUCUGCAUGUAUCGUGACUGUGUCCCCGCCCCAAGAGGUGAUCUGGUUCCAGCCACAUAUCUCGGUAUCUGCAUGUAUCAUGCCUGUGUCCCCGCCCUAAGAGGUGAUCUGGUUCCAGCCACAUAUCUCGGUAUCUGCAUGUAUCGUGACUGUGUCCCCUCCCUAAGAGGUGAUCUGGUUCCAGCCACAUAUCUCGGUCUCUGCAUGCAUCGUGACUGUGUCCCCGCCCCAAGAGGUGAUCUGGUUCCAGCCACAUAUCUCGGUCUUUGCAUGUAUCGUGACUGUGUCCCAUCCCUAAGAGGUGAUCUGGUGCCAUCCAUAUUAGAGGUUGA